CAGCACACAGCCUUGAAUGGUCCUUGAUUUCCUUGUUCAUGAAGGGCCAAUUUACACUGGGGUAUCAUGGUAUUCUCUCAAAUGUGCCAGUCAUAGAGCCAUGAACAGAAGACCUCUUUAGAGAGCACCAGCAUGAUUCUUCUGACAGUGGAGAGGCAUAGUUUCCCUUGGUGAUCUCAGAAGGCAUCUGUAGCAAAUUCUAUUGAACUCAGGAGAAAAGCUCCAGCAUCAAAAUGAAAGAUAGAGAACAGGCUGAUUCACGGAAUAAAUCACUGAUCCAGAAAGAGAUCAGAGCUGUGACCACAGAACUGAACAAAUGGCCAGAAAUGUGUAA